AUUGAACGCUGGCGGCAUGCCUUACACAUGCAAGUCGAACGGCAGCGCGGGAGCAAUCCUGGCGGCGAGUGGCGAACGGGUGAGUAAUACAUCGGAACGUGCCCAAUCGCGGGGGAGAAGGCAGCGAAAGCUGUGCUAAUACCGCAUACGAUCUACGGACGAAAGCAGGGGAUCGCAAGACCUUGCGCGCAUGGAGGGGCCGAUGGCGGAUUAGGUAGUUGGUGAGGUAAAGGCUCACCAAGCCUUCGAUCUGUAGCUGGUCUGAGAGGACGACCAGCCACACUGGAACUGAGACACGGCCCAGACUCCUACGGGAGGCAGCAGUGGGGAAUUUUGGACAAUGGGCGAAAGCCUGAUCCAGCCAUGCCGCGUGCAGGAUGAAGGCCUUCGGGUUGUAAACUGCUUUUGUACGGAACGAAACGGUCUUUUCUAAUAAAGAAGGCUAAUGACGGUACCGAAAGAAUAAGCACCGGCUAACUACGUG
rnacentral:rRNA from 1 species